rnacentral:rRNA from 1 species
CCCUUAGAUGUCCGGGGCCGCACGCGCGCUACACUGAAGGAAUCAGCGUGGCUUUCUCCCUGACCCGAAAGGGUUGGGAAACCCGUUGAAUCUCCUUCGUGAUAGGGAUUGGGGCUUGAAAUUGUUCCCCAUGAACGAGGAAUUCCCAGUAAGCGCGAGUCAUAAGCUCGCGUUGAUUACGUCCCUGCCCUUUGUACACACCGCCCGUCGCUACUACCGAUUGAACGGUUUAGUGAGACCCUCGGACUGGUCCCGCUGUCGGACAGGCAACUGUUUGCAGCGCGUGCGCCGGGAAGAAGGUCGAACUUGACUAUCUAGAGGAAGUAAAAGUCGUAACA